AGUGAACGCUGGCGGUAGGCCUAACACAUGCCAGUCGAACGGCAGCACAGUAAGAGCUUGCUCUUACGGGUGGCGAGUGGCGGACGGGUGAGGAAUACAUCGGAAUCUACUUUUUCGUGGGGGAUAACGUAGGGAAACUUACGCUAAUACCGCAUACGACCUACGGGUGAAAGCAGGGGAUCUUCGGACCUUGCGCGAUUGAAUGAGCCGAUGUCGGAUUAGCUAGUUGGCGGGGUAAAGGCCCACCAAGGCGACGAUCCGUAGCUGGUCUGAGAGGAUGAUCAGCCACACUGGAACUGAGACACGGACCAGACUCCUACGGGAGGCAGCAGUGGGGAAUAUUGGACAAUGGGCGCAAGCCUGAUCCAGCCAUACCGCGUGGGUGAAGAAGGCCUUCGGGUUGUAAAGCCCUUUUGUUGGGAAAGAAAAGCAGCAGGUUAAUACCCCGCUGUUCUGACGGUACCCAAAGAAUAAGCACCGGCUAACUUCGUG
rnacentral:rRNA from 1 species